rnacentral:ncRNA from 1 species
CGGUCUAUUGCCGGAAGAUAAACAAUUACAGUUAAAAGACUAUUUUAUCAAGCAAAUUAGAACGUAUAUGGACGGAAAAAUACCAGUUUCAACUGUCUCAAGCGAUUCAAGCGCUUCAAGUAAUACAGUUAAGCCAGUAGGCAGUGCGUGGAAGCGUAACAGCUACGGCACUUACUACAUGGAAGAGAAAGCAACGUUCACAAAUGGUAGUGAACCUAUAACUGUAAGAACAGUAGGACCAUUUAUAUCAUGUCC